rnacentral:rRNA from 1 species
CUGGGCUUGACAUGGUAGUCGUAGACUUGUGAAAGCUUGUCGUCACUUCGGGUGGACUAUCACAGGUGCUGCAUGGCUGUCGUCAGCUCGUGUCGUGAGAUGUUGGGUUAAGUCCCGUAACGAGCGCAACCCCUAUGAACUGUUGCCAGCGGGUAAUGCCGGGGACUCUGUUCAGACUGCCCAGAUUAACUGGGAGGAAGGAGGGGAUGACGUCAAGUCAGUAUGGCCCUUACGCCCAGGGCUGCACACGUGCUACAAUGUCCAGUACAAUGUGAACCAAUACCGUGAGGUGGAGGAAAUCGUCAAAACUGGGCUCAGUUCGGAUUGUAGGCUGCAACUCGCCUACAUGAAGUUGGAAUCGCUAGUAAUGCUGCAUCAGCUACGGCAGCGUGAAUACGUUCCC